rnacentral:rRNA from 1 species
CUUUGGUGCCUUCGGGAACUCUGAGACAGGUGCUGCAUGGCUGUCGUCAGCUCGUGUUGAGAAAUGUUGGGUUAAGUCCCGCAACGAGCGCAACCCUUAUCCUUUGUUGCCAGCGGUUCGGCCGGGAACUCAAAGGAGACUGCCAGUGAUAAACUGGAGGAAGGUGGGGAUGACGUCAAGUCAUCAUGGCCCUUACGAGUAGGGCUACACACGUGCUACAAUGGCGCAUACAAAGAGAAGCGACCUCGCGAGAGCAAGCGGACCUCAUAAAGUGCGUCGUAGUCCGGAUUGGAGUCUGCAACUCGACUCCAUGAAGUCGGAAUCGCUAGUAAUCGUAGAUCAGAAUGCUACGGUGAAUACGUUC